rnacentral:rRNA from 1 species
UACGUAGGGGGCAAGCGUUAUCCGGAAUCAUUGGGCGUAAAGCGCGUGUAGGCGGUUCCGUAAGUCCGCUCUGAAAGCCCAGGGCUCAACCCUGGGAGGCGGGUGGAUACUACGGAACUGGAGUACGGAAGAGGAGAUUGGAAUUCCUGGUGUAGCGGUGAAAUGCGCAGAUAUCAGGAGGAACACCGGUGGCGAAGGCGGGUCUCUGGGCAGUAACUGACGCUGAGGAGCGAAAGCGUGGGGAGCGAACAGG